rnacentral:tRNA from 1 species
GUGGGUGUAGCUCAACUGGUUAGAGCACCAGAUUGUGGAUCUGGGGGUUGGGAGUUCAAGUCUCCUCACUCACCCCA